rnacentral:rRNA from 1 species
ACGCUGGCGGCGUGCCUAAUACAUGCAAGUAGAACGCUGAAGGAGGAGCUUGCUUCUCUGGAUGAGUUGCGAACGGGUGAGUAACGCGUAGGUAACCUGCCUGGUAGCGGGGGAUAACUAUUGGAAACGAUAGCUAAUACCGCAUAACAGUAGAUGUUGCAUGACAUUUGCUUAAAAGGUGCAAUUGCAUCACUACCAGAUGGACCUGCGUUGUAUUAACUAGUUGGUGGGGUAACGGCUCACCAAGGCGACGAUACAUAGCCGACCUGAGAGGGUGAUCGGCCACACUGGGACUGAGACACGGCCCAGACUCCUACGGGAGGCAGCAGUAGGGAAUCUUCGGCAAUGGACGGAAGUCUGACCGAGCAACGCCGCGUGAGUGAAGAAGGUUUUCGGAUCGUAAAGCUCUGUUGUAAGAGAAGAACAGGUGUGAGAGUGGAAAGUUCACACUGUGACGGUAUCUUACCAGAAAGGGACGGCUAACUACGUGCCAGCAGCCGCGGUAAUACGUAGGUCCCGAGCGUUGUCCGGAUUUAUUGGGCGUAAAGCGAGCGCAGGCGGUUAGACAAGUCUGAAGUUAAAGGCUGUGGCUUAACCAUAGUACGCUUUGGAAACUGUUUAACUUGAGUGCAAGAGGGGAGAGUGGAAUUCCAUGUGUAGCGGUGAAAUGCGUAGAUAUAUGGAGGAACACCGGUGGCGAAAGCGGCUCUCUGGCUUGUAACUGACGCUGAGGCUCGAAAGCGUGGGGAGCAAACAGGAUUAGAUACCCCUGGUAGUCCACGCCGUAAACGAUGAGUGCUAGGUGUUAGACCCUUUCCGGGGUUUAGUGCCGCAGCUAACGCAUUAAGCACUCCGCCUGGGGAGUACGACCGCAAGGUUGAAACUCAAAGGAAUUGAC